rnacentral:misc_RNA from 1 species
GAAGCUUCUCAUGAAAAUGAUUUACAGCAGUCUGCUCUUCUUUGUUCAUGUAAUUUUCCUUAGACAGAUCUGAUCGAGGUUCAAUUUUUGGGUCAUGGAGUACUCUAUGCCUGCUUCCACCGAAAGUAAAGCAACGGGCGAUUCCUAUUGCACCAAUCGCAUCAAGCCGAUCGGCAUCUUGCACCACCCCAAACUCUAUUGAAUAAUUCGUAUUUGCAAGCCCUCCCGCUUCUUCCUUGAAACCCAUCCCCUUAAUUAUAUUCAAUAUCUUUAUCUUCAUCCCUUCCUCUAUGCCUUGACCCUGAAGAAAUUCCUCAACGAUCUUUGCCUCAGAUGGAUUCCUUAUGUAUUUGUAGUCGCCUAUAUCAUGUAGAAGAGCAGCCAGUUCCACGAUUAAGAUGGAAUCUGGAGAAGUAGAAAGGGUUUCUUCAUGAGCAAGUGAAAGGGCAAGGUCUCGAACUCGAAAAGCAUGGGCUGCAUCAUGUGAAGCAUCGUUCCCACUCAUUUCUUUCUCUACCAACUCCUCUGCCUUUCUGAUUAUCUCCAUCUUCCACAAAACCUCCGAC